GGGAGAAAGCAGGGGACCUUCGGGCCUUGCGCUAUCAGAUGAGCCUAGGUCGGAUUAGCUAGUUGGUGGGGUAAUGGCUCACCAAGGCGACGAUCCGUAACUGGUCUGAGAGGAUGAUCAGUCACACUGGAACUGAGACACGGUCCAGACUCCUACGGGAGGCAGCAGUGGGGAAUAUUGGACAAUGGGCGAAAGCCUGAUCCAGCCAUGCCCCGUGUGUGAAGAAGGUCUUCGGAUUGUAAAGCACUUUAAGUUGGGAGGAAGGGCAGUAAAUUAAUACUUUGCCGUUUUGACGUUACCGACAGAAUAAGCACCGGCUAACUCUGUGCCAGCAGCCGCGGUAAUACAGAGGGUGCAAGCGUUAAUCGGAAUUACUGGGCGUAAAGCGCGCGUAGGUGGUUCGUUAAGUUGGAUGUGAAAUCCCCGGGCUCAACCUGGGAACUGCAUUCAAAACUGACGAGCUAGAGUAUGGUAGAGGGUGGUGGAAUUUCCUGUGUAGCGGUGAAAUGCGUAGAUAUAGGAAGGAACACCAGUGGCGAAGGCGACCACCU
rnacentral:rRNA from 1 species